CCUACGGGAGGCAGCAGUAGGGAAUCUUCGGCAAUGGGGGCAACCCUGACCGAGCAACGCCGCGUGAGUGAAGAAGGUUUUCGGAUCGUAAAGCUCUGUUGUAAGUCAAGAACGGGUGUGAGAGUGGAAAGUUCACACUGUGACGGUAGCUUACCAGAAAGGGACGGCUAACUACGUGCCAGCAGCCGCGGUAAUACGUAGGUCCCGAGCGUUGUCCGGAUUUAUUGGGCGUAAAGCGAGCGCAGGCGGUUUGAUAAGUCUGAAGUUAAAGGCUGUGGCUCAACCAUAGUUCGCUUUGGAAACUGUCAAACUUGAGUGCAGAAGGGGAGAGUGGAAUUCCAUGUGUAGCGGUGAAAUGCGUAGAUAUAUGGAGGAACACCGGUGGCGAAAGCGGCUCUCUGGUCUGUAACUGACGCUGAGGCUCGAAAGCGUGGGGAGCGAACAGGAUUAGAUACCCUAGUAGUC
rnacentral:rRNA from 1 species